CCUACGGGUGGCAGCAGUGAGGAAUAUUGGUCAAUGGUCGGGAGACUGAACCAGCCAAGCCGCGUGAGGGAGGAAGGUACAGAGUAUCGUAAACCUCUUUUGUCAGGGAACAAAGACUGGGACGCGUCCCCGGAUGAGUGUACCUGAAGAAAAAGCAUCGGUUAACAGCGUGCCAGCAGCCGCGGUAAUACGGAGGAUGCGAGCGUUGUCCGGAUUUAUUGGGGUAAAGGGGUGCGCCGGCGGUCUGUUAAGUCAGCGGUAAAAGCCCGGGGCUCAACCCCGGACCGCCGUUGAAACUGGGAGACUCGAGUUGGAGAGGAGUAUGCGGAAUGCGCGGUGUAGCAGUGAAAUGCAUAGAUAUCGCGCAGAACUCCGGUGGCGAAGGCGGCAUGCCGGCUCCACACUGACGCUGAGGCACGAAGGCGUGGGUAUCGAACAGGAUUAGAUACCCUUGUAGUC
rnacentral:rRNA from 1 species